AGAGUUUGAUCCUGGCUCAGGAUGAACGCUAGCGGCAGGCCUAAUACAUGCAAGUCGAGGGGCAGCACGAGUACUUGUACUUGGUGGCGACCGGCGCACGGGUGCGUAACGCGUAUGCAACCUACCUUAUACAGAGGAAUAGCCCAGAGAAAUUUGGAUUAAUACCUCAUAGUAUCAUUUAAAGGCAUCUGAAGAUGAUUAAAGAUUUAUCGGUAUAAGAUGGGCAUGCGUAAGAUUAGUUAGUUGGUGAGGUAACGGCUCACCAAGACUUCGAUCUUUAGGGGUUCUGAGAGGAUGAUCCCCCACACUGGUACUGAGAUACGGACCAGACUUCUACGGGAGGCAGCAGUAGGGAAUAUUGGUCAAUGGGCGAGAGCCUGAACCAGCCAUGCCGCGUGCAGGAAGACGGCCUUCUGGGUUGUAAACUGCUUUUAUAUGGGAAGAAAACGGCCUUGCGAGGCAAAUUGACGGUACCAUAUGAAUAAGCACCGGCUAACUCCGUGCCAGCAGCCGCGGUAAUACGGAGGGUGCAAGCGUUGUCCGGAUUUAUUGGGUUUAAAGGGUACGUAGGCGGCCAAUUAAGUCAGUGGUGAAAGCCAGCAGCUCAACUGUUGAACUGCCAUUGAUACUGAUUGGCUCGAGUUCUGUUAAGGUAGGCGGAAUUGAUGGUGUAGCGGUGAAAUGCAUAGAUACCAUCAGGAACACCGAUUGCGAAGGCAGCUUACUAGGCAGAAACUGACGCUAAUGUACGAAAGCGUGGGGAUCGAACAGGAUUAGAUACCCUGGUAGUCCACGCCGUAAACGAUGCUCACUCGCUGUUGGCGAUACACAGUCAGCGGCCAAGCGAAAGCGUUAAGUGAGCCACCUGGGGAGUACGCUCGCAAGAGUGAAACUCAAAGGAAUUGACG
rnacentral:rRNA from 1 species